AGCAGUGUUGAGUCUUAACAGCUAGCCCAUUGCACCCAGCGAAUCAGAGGCUAUGUCUCGUAAACUUUGUAGCUAACGGAUAAUGGAAACGCCAAGAAACACGAAAAGAAAUUGCCAUCGCCGAGCCAAGAAUGAGUCAUAUUAGUUGGAGCGAUUGUGGAGCCACUAUGGCCCCCAAAAAGCCACAGAUGAUGGUAGAAACUGUCUCCAUGGUGAUCUCUCAAGCACAUCAGUUUUGAAGUGAGGAGGAUGUAAGGGCCAACGAUGGAGGGAGAGCUGCAUGAUGAAGGUCUGUCUUGGUGAGGGAGCCUUAAAUACAUUCCAUGGAGACCCAGAGAGGGGCCCAGUGGCCCUCUGUUUGUGCCCCUUCCCCCACUAAACAUGGCAAACUGGCCUCCC